GGGACUUUGUAAUCCUGGUGCCGGGUUGAACGAAAACCUCAGCCUCUGUUAGUAUUGUCUGAAACACACUGCUUGAGGAGUGUGUGUUAAGGACACUCUAAAAAAGAGACUUGUGGGAGGUUUCAGGCAUUUGGAAGUUUUAGAUACGACUUCAAGUAAGAUUCACUUUCGGGUGAGGUAUUUAUAUCAGCCAGAGUCCCAGCAGGAAGAUGGCAUCUUCCACAAGAUAAGUGGGCCAAGUUUAAAGAUGAGAUGAUCUACACAGGUCUGGGCAGGGCUAUGGGGUUCCCCAGGGGUGGAGGUGCCCCAGGGAGGGGAGUAGCACUAGCACUAAGCCUGAGAGUGCAGCCUGUGCAGUCACCUGUCAGUGCUCAGAGAGUCCCCGUGCUUCGUUUAACCCUCUGCUGUCACAUUCUUGAAAUCUCGAAUACUUUUUGAACAAGGGUUUUUGCAUUUCAUUUUGGCCUUGGGCCCUGCAAAUAAUGUAGCCCAUCUGCUUCGACCUCCUCCAAGUCUGAAGAGACAAAGGGAGGAAGGAAUGACAUUGGUUGGAGCCCAGCUAUGGGAAGGGCUGUUUAAUAGGGUCUGUUGUCUGAGGCCAGGCGCAGUGGCUCAUGCCUGUAAUCCCAGCACUUUGGGAGGCUGAGGCGGGAGGAUCACCGAGGUCAGGAGUUCGAGACCAGCCUGGCCAAGAUGGCGAAACCCCAUCUCUACUGAAAAUACAAAAAUUAGCCAGGUAUUGUCAUGCAUGCCUGUAAUCUCAGCUAUGUGGGAGGCUGAGGCAGGAGAAUCGCUCAAACCUGGGAGAUAGAGAUUGCAGUGAGCCGAGAUGGCACUGCUGCACGCCAGCCUGGGCAACAGAGCAAUACUCUGUCUAAAACAAAAACAAAAAACAGGGUCUGUGGCCCAAUACAGCAGCUACCAUCAUAACUGAGGCUUCCUAUGGAGGAAGAGGGUAUAAAUUCCCUGGCUCUUUCUCCUCCACCCUCAUGAAUCCUGCCAGUGCCUCCCACUGGCUGAAACGCACGAGAGCCUGUAAAUUCCCCAGGCACAGAACGAGGAUGUGAACUGCAGGUAGAAGACCUGGAGGGGGAAGGGAGACUAACGGCACACAUGUAUGCAAAGAAUCAAACGAUCUGCCCUUCCGCAGCCUGCAGG
rnacentral:lncRNA from 1 species